rnacentral:rRNA from 1 species
ACGAACGCUGGCGGCGUGCCUAAUACAUGCAAGUCGAACGCAUUUUCUUUCACCGUAGCUUGCUACACCGAAAGAAAAUGAGUGGCGAACGGGUGAGUAACACGUGGGUAACCUGCCCAUCAGCGGGGGAUAACACUUGGAAACAGGUGCUAAUACCGCAUAAUUCCAUUUACCGCAUGGUAGAUGGGUGAAAGGCGCUUUUGCGUCACUGAUGGAUGGACCCGCGGUGCAUUAGCUAGUUGGUGGGGUAACGGCCUACCAAGGCUGCGAUGCAUAGCCGACCUGAGAGGGUGAUCGGCCACACUGGGACUGAGACACGGCCCAGACUCCUACGGGAGGCAGCAGUAGGGAAUCUUCGGCAAUGGACGCAAGUCUGACCGAGCAACGCCGCGUGAGUGAAGAAGGUUUUCGGAUCGUAAAACUCUGUUGUUAGAGAAGAACAAGGAUGAGAGUGGAAAGUUCAUCCCUUGACGGUAUCUAACCAGAAAGCCACGGCUAACUACGUG